AUUGAACGCUGGCGGCAGGCCUAACACAUGCAAGUCGAACGAGUGGCGGACGGGUGAGUAAUGUAUGGGAAACUGCCCGGUGGCGGGGGAUAACUACUGGAAACGGUGGCUAAUACCGCAUACCAUCGGAUGUGCCCAGAUGGGAUUAGCUAGUUGGUGGGGUAACGGCUCACCUAGGCGACGAUCCCUAGCUGGUCUGAGAGGAUGACCAGCCACACUGGAACUGAGACACGGUCCAGACUCCUACGGGAGGCAGCAGUGGGGAAUAUUGGACAAUGGGCGCAAGCCUGAUGCAGCCAUGCCGCGUGUAUGAAGAAGGCCUUCGGGUUGUAAAGUACUUUUGGCGAGGAGGCGGUACUCGCAGAAGAAGCACCGGCUAACUACGUGCCAGCAGCCGCGGUAAUAC
rnacentral:rRNA from 1 species